GAAAUGCGAUAAGCAAUGUGAAUUGCAGAAUUCCGUGAAUCAUCGAAUCUUUGAACGCACAUUGCGCCCUCUGGCAUUCCGGGGGGCAUGCCUGUCCGAGCGUCAUUACGCACCCUCAAGCCCGGCUUGUGUGAUGGGCCCCGGCGUCUCGUUCGCGAGACGGGCCCGAAAGGCAGCGGCGGCGUCGACCCGAUGAGCCCGAGCGUAUGGGGACUUCUGUCACACGUUCGCGGUGCGGACCGGCGCCUGCUUGACCUUUCUGAUUAUCCAGGUUGACCUCGGAUCAGGUAGGGAUACCCGCUGAACUUAAGC
rnacentral:misc_RNA from 1 species